UCGAAACCCAUAUAAGAGAAAUCCUGAUCCAUCGUUUAGUAGCUUGAAUAUUUUUAGAAUUCCUAGAAAAUCAAUUUUGUUCCUGAAAUCGAAAUCAAAUCAUCAAUCUGAUAUGUUAUUGAGCUUCUAUUACCCAACAGUUUGUUGAUUAUGACAUACUUUAUUAUCAGAUUUACCAACACUCUCAGAAGUAUUUUCAAAAGCUUCAGAAGAAUGGAACAAGUGAACAUUUACCACCUCGAAGGCCAAAACGAAAAGAAGUUCAUCCAUACCCAUAGAAAGCAGCAAAAAAUGGGGGUGUGUCCAUUGUCUUCAAAUCUGUUAGAAUCAAGAUCUGUUCCAAGGCCAGAUCCGUCUUCGCUGCUUAAAACAUGACCUGCACUCUGCAAUGUCUUCAUGGCCUCAGUUAUCCAAUGCUAUACUGGAUUUCUCCCAAGUCUACAGCUUCAUUGGCAAUGUAUUCCACCCUAACACAUGUAAUCACUUGCAGAAACUUAAGGAGAUGAAUCC